rnacentral:rRNA from 1 species
GAUCAUGGCUCAGGAUGGACGCUGGCGGCGUGCCUAACACAUGCAAGUCGAACGGGGUGUCAUUCUUCGGAGAGGACACUUAGUGGCGGACGGGUGAGUAACGCGUGGGUAACCUGCCUCAUACAGGGGGAUAGCAGUUGGAAACGACUGAUAAUACCGCAUAAGCGCACAGCAUCGCAUGGUGCAGUGUGAAAAAACUCCGGUGGUAUGAGAUGGACCCGCGUCUGAUUAGCUUGUUGGCGGGGUAACGGCCCACCGAGGCGACGAUCAGUAGCCGGCCUGAGAGGGUGAACGGCCACAUUGGGACUGAGACACGGCCCAAACUCCUACGGGAGGCAGCAGUGGGGAAUAUUGCACAAUGGGGGAAACCCUGAUGCAGCGAACCGCCGCGUGAAGGAUGAAGUAUUUCGGUAUGUAAACUUCUAUCAGCAGGGAAGAUGAUGACGGUACCUGACUAAGAAGCCCCGGCUAACUACGUGCCAGCAGCUGC